rnacentral:rRNA from 1 species
AGCCCGCUCAGAACUUAAAGGAAGUUGACGGGGAGCACUACAACGGUGGAGCCUGCGGUUUAAUUGGAUUCAACGCCGGAAAUCUCACCGGGGCGACAGCAUAUGAAGGUCAGGCUGAAGACCUUACCCGAUUAGCUGAGAGGUGGUGCAUGGCCGUCGUCAGUUCGUACUGUGAAGCAUCCUGUUAAGUCAGGCAACGAGCGAGACCCACGUCCACAGUUGCCAGCAUACCCUCCGGGGUGAUGGGUACACUGUGGAGACCGCCGCUGCUAAAGCGGAGGAAGGAGUGGGCAACGGUAGGUCAGUAUGCCCCGAAUCUCCCGGGCUACACGCGGGCUACAAUGGUUGGUACAAUGGGCAUCUACCCCGAAAGGGGAAGGAAAUCUCUUAAAGCCAAUCGUAGUUCGGAUUGAGGGCUGCAACUCGCCCUCAUGAAGCUGGAAUCCGUAGUAAUCGCGUUUCAACAGAACGCGGUGAAUACGUCCCUGCUCCUU